CCUACGGGUGGCACCAGUAGGGAAUCUUCGGCAAUGGACGAAAGUCUGACCGAGCAACGCCGCGUGAGUGAAGAAGGUUUUCGGAUCGUAAAACUCUGUUGUUAGAGAAGAACAAGGACGUUAGUAACUGAACGUCCCCUGACGGUAUCUAACCAGAAAGCCACGGCUAACUACGUGCCAGCAGCCGCGGUAAUACGUAGGUGGCAAGCGUUGUCCGGAUUUAUUGGGCGUAAAGCGAGCGCAGGCGGUUUCUUAAGUCUGAUGUGAAAGCCCCCGGCUCAACCGGGGAGGGUCAUUGGAAACUGGGAGACUUGAGUACAGAUGAGGAGAGUGGAAUUCCAUGUGUAGCGGUGAAAUGCGUAGAUAUAUGGAGGAACACCAGUGGCGAAGGCGGCUCUCUGGUAUGUAAAUGACGCUGAGUCUCGAAAGCGUGGGGAGCAAACAGGAUUAGAUACCCCAGUACUC
rnacentral:rRNA from 1 species